rnacentral:ribozyme from 1 species
AGUCGUUGCACCGGCUUAAAAUAGGUUCUUAAGGUGCAAGCGUUGACCGCCAUUGCGGCGGUCAGGUGAAC